rnacentral:rRNA from 1 species
GAAAUCUGACCUCAAAUCAGGUAGGACUACCCGCUGAACUUAAGCAUAUCAAUAAGCGGAGGAAAAGAAACUAACAAGGAUUCCCCUAGUAACUGCGAGUGAAGCGGGAAAAGCUCAAAUUUGAAAUCUGGCGGCCCUGCCGUCCGAGUUGUAUUCUGGAGAAGCGUCUUCCGUGCYGGACCGUGUACAAGUCCCUUGGAACAGGGCGUCGUAGAGGGUGAGAAUCCCGUCUUUGACACGGACUGCCGGUGCUAUGUGAUGCGCUCUCGAAGAGUCGAGUUGUUUGGGAAUGCAGCUCAAAAUGGGUGGUAAAUUCCAUCUAAAGCUAAAUAUUGGCGAGAGACCGAUAGCGAACAAGUACCGUGAGGGAAAGAUGAAAAGCACUUUGGAAAGAGAGUAAAACAGUACGUGAAAUUGUUGAAAGGGAAACGCUUGAAGUCAGUCGCGUCUGCCGGAACUCAGCCUUGCUUCUGCUUGGUGCACUUUCCGGUCCGACGGGCCAGCAUCGGUUUCGGGUGGCGGACACUGGCGAGGGGAAGGUGGUGGCUCCGGCCGCGUUAUAGCCCCCCGUCGCGAACGUCUCUCGGGACCGAGGAAUCCGGCGAGAGCCUGGGAUGCUGGCGUAAUGGCUUUAAACGACCCGUCUUGAAACACGGACCAAGGAGUGCUACGUGCUCGCGAGUGUUUGGGUGGAAAACCCGGACGCGCAAUGAAAGUGAAAGUCGAUACCCUUCGCGGGGGCACCGACGCCCGAGCCUGAUGUUUUCGGAAGGCCUUGCGGUAGAGCGAGUGCGUUGCGACCCGAAAGAUGGUGAACUAUUCCUGAGGAGGGCGAAGCCAGAGGAAACUCUGGUGGAGGCUCGUAGCGGUUCUGACGUGCAAAUCGAUCGCAGGACUUGG